UUUGCAUUCCCUCAACUCAAUAAGGCAGGGCCUGUCCAGCUCUUGCCUUUUUCACAUUCAGUAUCUACAUGUAAAGGGAGCAGACACAGGAAAAAGGUAUUGAAGACCCUUGAUAUGAUAUUGCUGUUUUUGUUUUAGAUUCCAAAGUUAACCCUUUAAUUUAUCCCUUUUCCCCAAGUAGAACGCUGCAUUUACUUUACAUUUUGCUUUGGAGUCGGAAGUUCCAAAAUCACCAGGAGAGCUCCUCAGGCAUCUCCUGCCUGUAAUUCCUGGGAAAUGCCACCUGCCACCCAUCCUUGGAAGCGUCGCCCAUUCUCAGGAUCUCAUGCGUCACCAUUCAUCACAGUCACAGCGCUUGCAGACAUCUGGAUAAAAGGAAAAGCCCAUUUUUUUAAAACUUACACGUUAAAUUUUCCUCUAAUUACCAUUUUAUUAUUUUAAAUUUCAUUAUGUUUAAUUACAUUUAGUAUGGAUUAAGGCACAGCCAGCCUGGAUUAAGGCAUCACCAGCCUGGCAUCAGACUCUCCGGACAAUGCCAGCCCAGAGGGGGCUGACCUGGAGGACAUUCCCCCGGAGGACAUGGAGUGGGAGCCUCCAGGUCUUGACCUGAGUCCCACUCCGUGGUGUCAGCCCCGUGGCCAAAGUUUCCCCAGCCGAGGAGGCUAUCGCCGCGACAACGGCAGGGUCAACAGAAAUCCAGUCGUGGGCUCAGCUCCGGGAGGAAAAAACGAGGGUCCCUGGUUUGGUCCAGUUCCUGUCCUGCCUGCCCCUCGACACCCUCCGACUCUGCCAACCCCUCGCCGUCUACCGAUGCUGUUCUUCCCUCGGCUGCCGCAGACGAGUAGAGCUUCUACAGACCCAGACAGGAUUCCAAAGGCCC